rnacentral:rRNA from 1 species
CCCUGCUGUUCUUCCCUGGGUCCCCACUGAAGGUAAGUAGGGUUGAGUCUGGCUAGUACCUGGAUGGGAGACCUCCUGGGGAAAACUAAGGUGAGCAGGGG